UACAGAGGGGGCAAGCGUUGUUCGGAAUUACUGGGCGUAAAGGGCGCGUAGGCGGCCUGUUAAGUCGAACGUGAAAUCCCCAGGCUCAACCUGGGAACUGCGUCCGAUACUGGCAGGCUUGAAUCCGGGAGAGGGAUGCGGAAUUCCAGGUGUAGCGGUGAAAUGCGUAGAUAUCUGGAGGAACACCGGUGGCGAAGGCGGCAUCCUGGACCGGCAUUGACGCUGAGGCGCGAAGGCUAGGGGAGCGAACAGG
rnacentral:rRNA from 1 species